rnacentral:rRNA from 1 species
AGCAGAGGAGCUUGCUUCUGCUGACGACCGGCGCACGGGUGCGUAACGCGUAUGCAAUCUACCUUUUACAGUGGGAUAGUCCCAGAGAAAUUUGGUAUUAAUACCAUAUAGCUAUAUUUGAAUGGCAUCAUUUAAAUAUUAAAGAUUUAUCGGUAAAAGAUGAGCAUGCGUUCUAUUAGUUAGUUGGUAAGGUAACGGCUUACCAAGACCGCGAUAGAUAGGGGCCCUGAGAGGGGGAUCCCCCACACUGGUACUGAGACACGGACCAGACUCCUACGGGAGGCAGCAGUGAGGAAUAUUGGACAAUGGGCGAGAGCCUGAUCCAGCCAUGCCGCGUUGCAGGAAGACUGCCCUAUGGGUUGUAAAACUGGCUUUUUUAUACCGGGAAGAAACACUCCCUCCUAAGAACGUUACUCUACUGACGGUACCGUAGGAUAAGGACCGGCUAAUUCCGUGCCAGCAGCCGCGGUAAUACGGAGGGUCCGAGCGUAUUCGGAAUUAUUUGGUUUAAAGGUUCGUAGGCGGGCCGAUAAGUCAGGGGUGAAAAUUUGCAGUUCAACUGUAAAUUGCCUUGAUACUGUUGUCCUGAGUUAUAGUGAAGUUGCCGGAUAUGUAGUGUAGCGGUGAAAUGCAUAGAUAUUACAUAGAACACCGAUUGCGAAGGCAGGUGACUAACUAUAUACUGACGCUGAUGGACGAAAGCGUGGGGAGCGAACAGGAUUAGAUACCCUGGUAGUCCACGCCGUAAACGAUGGAUACUAGCUGUCCGAGGCCUUGAGUCUUGGGCGGCCAAGCGAAAGUGAUAAGUAUCCCACCUGGGGAGUACGUUCGCAAGAAUGAAACUCAAAGGAAUUGACGGGGGCCCGCACAAGCGGUGGAGCAUGUGGUUUAAUUCGAUGAUACGCGAGGAACCUUACCAGGGCUUAAAUGCAUAUUGACAGGUCUAGAGAUAGAUUUUCCUUCGGGCAAUUUGCAAGGUGCUGCAUGGUUGUCGUCAGCUCGUGCCGUGAGGUGUCAGGUUAAGUCCUAUAACGAGCGCAACCCCUACCGUUAGUUGCCAGCAUGUCAUGAUGGGGACUCUAACGGGACUGCCGGUGCAAACCGUGAGGAAGGUGGGGAUGACGUCAAAUCAUCACGGCCCUUACGUCCUGGGCCACACACGUGCUACAAUGGUAGGUACAGAGAGCAGCCACGUCGCAAGGCGGAGCGAAUCUAUAAAACCUAUCACAGUUCGGAUCGGGGUCUGCAACUCGACCCCGUGAAGCUGGAAUCGCUAGUAAUCGGAUAUCAGCCAUGAUCCGGUGAAUACGUUCCCGGGCCUUGUACACACCGCCCGUCAAGCCAUGGAAGCCGGGAGUGCCUGAAGUCCGUCACCGUAAGGAGCGGCCUAGGGCAAGAUCGGUAACUAGGGUAAGUCGUAACAAGG